rnacentral:rRNA from 1 species
AUUGAACGCUGGCGGCAGGCUUAACACAUGCAAGUCGAGCGGUGGUGAGGUGCUUGCACCUUAUCUUAGCGGCGGACGGGUGAGUAAUGCUUAGGAAUCUGCCUAUUAGUGGGGGACAACAUUCCGAAAGGAAUGCUAAUACCGCAUACGCCCUACGGGGGAAAGCAGGGGACCUUCGGACCUUGCGCUAAUAGAUGAGCCUAAGUCGGAUUAGCUAGUUGGUGGGGUAAAGGCCUACCAAGGCGACGAUCUGUAGCGGGUCUGAGAGGAUGAUCCGCCACACUGGGACUGAGACACGGCCCAGACUCCUACGGGAGGCAGCAGUGGGGAAUAUUGGACAAUGGGCGGAAGCCUGAUCCAGCCAUGCCGCGUGUGUGAAGAAGGCCUUUUGGUUGUAAAGCACUUUAAGCGAGGAGGAGGCUACCUGGAUUAAUACUCUAGGAUAGUGGACGUUACUCGCAGAAUAAGCACCGGCUAACUCUGUGCCAGCAGCCGCCGUAAGAC